rnacentral:lncRNA from 1 species
ACUAGUGUUGGACCGCCUGAGAUGUGAUGGUGAGCUGAGCUGUACCUGAAUCCUGAGCUGCCCAGCCCAGGCAGGAAGCACACUGGCGAUCUCUUUCCAUCGGGGGGCAGCUGCCCUAGGCUGGAAGUAUUUUAGCUCUGAAUCUGCUGUUAGAGGGUCUAUCAUUCUUUGUCAUUUUUUUCUCUCAGAUACUGCUCUUUUUAGUUUAGUUUUAUUUAUUAAUAUCUUCCUACUGUGGUGCUUAACGUCUCCUUUCCCCCUCCUCCAAGGGUGAGAGGUCUGGUUGAAAGAUCUCUACUAGCUACGCAGUAAUUUUUUUAUAAUUCUUCCUUCCUUCAAAUGUGUCUUUUUGUGACCCAAUCGAACGCUGGCAAUGAAGUUCCUUAUCUCCAUUUGACUUGUGCAUGAAGCCAACACUCAGAAAUCCUACUUCAUCCCUUACCUUUUCUCUUUGUAGCUAACCCAAAAUGUGUUCAGUUUUACUAAAAGCUGAAGCUCUCCACAAACUUCUGAGUAUAGUGUA